rnacentral:rRNA from 1 species
UACGGAGGGGGCGAGCGUUAUUCGGAAUUAUUGGGCGUAAAGGGCGCGUAGGCGGCUUGAUGUGUCAAAGGUGAAACCCCUCGGCUCAACUGAGGAACUGCCUUUGAAACUGUCUGGCUUGAGGCCGGGAGAGGGUAGCGGAAUUCCCAGUGUAGCGGUGAAAUGCGUAGAUAUUGGGAGGAACACCAGUGGCGAAGGCGGCUCACUGGACCGGUACUGACGCUGAUGCGCGAAAGCGUGGGGAGCAAACGGG